CUUAGCCGGUACUCCGAAUGCCUCUAGAUUAGAGUUUGAUCAUGGCUCAGACNUGAACGCUGGCGGUAGGCCUAACACAUGCAAGUCGAACGGCAGCACAGAGGAGCUUGCUCCUUGGGUGGCGGGUGGCGGACGGGUGAGGAAUACAUCGGAAUCUACUCUGUCGUGGGGGAUAACGUAGGGAAACUUACGCUAAUACCGCAUACGACCUACGGGUGAAAGCAGGGGAUCUUCGGACCUUGCGCGAUUGAAUGAGCCGAUGUCGGAUUAGCUAGUUGGCGGGGUAAAGGCCCACCAAGGCGACGAUCCGUAGCUGGUCUGAGAGGAUGAUCAGCCACACUGGAACUGAGACACGGUCCAGACUCCUACGUGGAGGCAGCAGUGGGGAAUAUUGGACAAUGGGCGCAAGCCUGAUCCAGCCAUACCGCGUGGGUGAAGAAGGCCUUCGGGUUGUAAAGCCCUUUUGUUGGGAAAGAAAUCCAGCCGGCUAAUACCUGGUUGGGAUGACGGUACCCAAAGAAUAAGCACCGGCUAACUUCGUGCCAGCAGCCGCGGUAAUACGAAGGGUGCAAGCGUUACUCGGAAUUACUGGGCGUAAAGCGUUGCGUANGUGGGUUAUUUAGUCUCCGCUUGUUUAAAGCCCCUGGGGUUCAACUGGGGAACUNGCGUGGGAUUCCUGGGUUGACCUAGAAUGUNGUCANGGUACGCGAAUUCCCUUGUUGUAGCCUUGGACAUCGGNUGAUCUCCGGGAGGGACUCCCUGGGGGANGGGCGUUCUUGGACCACUUGGAUGUGGACGCUACUGUUCUUGUGUCCUACACGGUAUGACACGGNUNAGCGCCUCCNUUNUGAGCUCNCUGUGUUGUNUAACGCCCUUUAUGGUGAUUCGCGCGCGGGNNUGANGUUAGUGUGCGGGNGUUUUUUUCUCUACCUGCNCUCCGUNACUCUGUGNNANUCNG
rnacentral:rRNA from 1 species